rnacentral:rRNA from 1 species
CGGCGUGCCUAAUACAUUGACCUGAUUGGACUCUUUUCCCACCGGAGCUUGCUCCACCGGGAAAAGAGGAGUGGCGAACGGGUGAGUAACACGUGGGUAACCUGCCCAUCAGAAGGGGAUAACACUUGGAAACAGGUGCUAAUACCGUAUAACAAUCGAAACCGCAUGGUUUCGUUUUGAAAGGCGCUUUACGGUGCCGCUGAUGGAUGGACCCGCGGUGCAUUAGCUAGUUGGUGAGGUAACGGCUCACCAAGGCCACGAUGCAUAGCCGACCUGAGAGGGUGAUCGGCCACAUUGGGACUGAGACACGGCCCAAACUCAUACGGGAGGCAGCAGUAGGGAAUCUUCGGCAAUGGACGAAAGUCUGACCGAGCAACGCCGCGUGAGUGAAGAAGGUUUUCGGAUCGUAAAACUCUGUUGUUAGAGAAGAACAAGGGUGAGAGUAACUGUUCACCCCUUGACGGUAUCUAACCAGAAAGCCACGGCUAACUACGUGCCAGCAGCCGCGGUAAUACGUAGGUGGCAAGCGUUGUCCGGAUUUAUUGGGCGUAAAGCGAGCGCAGGCGGUUUCUUAAGUCUGAUGUGAAAGGUACAUUAUCAACCGGGGAGGGUCAUUGGAAACUGGGAGACUUGAGUGCAGAAGAGGAGAGUGGAAUUCCAUGUGUAGCGGUGAAAUGCGUAGAUAUAUGGAGGAACACCAGUGGCGAAGGCGGCUCUCUGGUCUGUAACUGACGCUGAGGCUCGAAAGCGUGGGGAGCAAACAGGAUUAGAUACCCUGGUAGUCCACGCCGUAAACGAUGAGUGCUAAGUGUUGGAGGGUUUCCGCCCUUCAGUGCUGCAGCUAACGCAUUAAGCACUCCGCCUGGGGAGUACGACCGCAAGGUUGAAACUCAAAGGAAUUGACGGGGGCCCGCACAAGCGGUGGAGCAUGUGGUUUAAUUCGAAGCAACGCGAAGAACCUUACCAGGUCUUGACAUCCUUUGACCACUCUAGAGAUAGAGCUUCCCCUUCGGGGGCAAAGUGACAGGUGGUGCAUGGUUGUCGUCAGCUCGUGUCGUGAGAUGUUGGGUUAAGUCCCGCAACGAGCGCAACCCUUAUUGUUAGUUGCCAUCAUUUAGUUGGGCACUCUAGCAAGACUGCCGGUGACAAACCGGAGGAAGGUGGGGAUGACGUCAAAUCAUCAUGCCCCUUAUGACCUGGGCUACACACGUGCUACAAUGGGAAGUACAACGAGUCGCGAAGUCGCGAGGCUAAGCUAAUCUCUUAAAGCUUCUCUCAGUUCGGAUUGUAGGCUGCAACUCGCCUACAUGAAGCCGGAAUCGCUAGUAAUCGCGGAUCAGCACGCCGCGGUGAAUACGUUCCCGGGCCUUGUACACACCGCCCGUCACACCACGAGAGUUUGUAACACCCGAAGUCUUGGAGGUACAUGAUUUGGAGCCAGCCGCCUAAGGUGGGAUAGAUGAUUGGGGUGAAGUCGUAAAUGCGUA